rnacentral:misc_RNA from 1 species
GUUGGUGAACCAGCGGAGGGAUCAUUACUGAGUUGCAAAACUCCAAACCAUUGUGUUCUUGAAUUAUCUGUUGCCUCGGCAGGCCGCCCCAGGGCGGGGCGCCUACAAGGCCUGCCGAAAGCACCCCUAAAACUCUUCUGAAACGCGUCUUCUGAAGCACUGAGAAAUAAUCAAAACUUUCAACAACGGAUCUCUUGGUUCUG